rfam:Erinaceus europaeus unplaced genomic scaffold scaffold00783, whole genome shotgun sequence
AAGAGACACUCAAGCAAGAAAUUCAAGUGUUCCCAGAAACAAAUGAAAAUGAAGACACAAGCUAUUGAGCUUGCUAUAGCAAGAAAGUAUAACCUAUUCUGGUAUUCUCUCCUUGGAGACAUGCCAUUAUAUAGUCCUAAACAUU